UGAGUCGGCUAAAGGCUGAAAGCCUUUUGACGAGUCCUUGCUAUCCAACGAUUCUCUAAAUGGACCAAAUAACACAGUGAAGGGAUGUAGUUCCAUUAGAUUUCUCAAACUUCAAACAGUUCACUGCAUGAAUGAAGUUAAGUUGUGUCAAUUCCCUUUGCUUUGACUAAUAUACGAUGUAAUCUGUCAUAUUUAUGACUUGUAAUUGUGCAAUACUCGAAUGUAACUCAUUAAGCAUAAAUGUGCAUUUUAAGAAUUGCGCAGGCUUACAAAGCUUGGGUAACAUCCAGCGAAAGACAAAAAAUAGUUCCACAGGGCUCCAGAUAAGAUGCGUAUUAGCGUAAAUUACGUAUUGAAAUAAUGCAAAUACGCAUGUCUAAUAAUUUCUAAGCGUAUAAAAACGUAUAUAAAAUUACAGAAACGCACACAAUGCUUUUUUAAAAACAAAAUCUGAAUCGUCUGGAUGCGUUAGGUAACAUAGCCGAUCAGCCUUAAUUCUCCCACAUUGAACAUAAACACGCAUUGUAUGAUUUCUAUAAACUUUGCGUGGGUUGAAUUUUGCAGUCAGUAAACGGAUAAAUUAUCGGAAGAAGAAGCUCUUACUGGUUUGUUUAGUUACUACUGAUAUUAAAAAUGAAUUUAAUUCUUAUUUUUCGAGAAAUAAACAAAUCGGCGAAACAUUAAAUUGUAUUUUCUUGUAGUUUUUGAAAUCGAAAGUAGAUCGUCUAUGUUUGGCUGCUUUCACGAAACGAAACAACUUUUUUAUGAAAAUAUUUAAAUAAGAGGUAAUUUAACCGUAAACUUCAAUGUCAGAUACUGCCAAUUGCUGCUAAAUGUCUUCAUAUCAUCACAAUUUGUAAAAUAUAUUGUUCAAACUGGAGAAAAGUGUAAUCGUAUACGGAUAUAAUAUUUUGGGUAAAUAUCGAGCUGUGUUAUGAAAUUUUAAGAAAAAAACUAAAAACAAACUGAAACUGGUAGACUAUACUGUCAGUACAUCAAUCAUUAGCCGACUCAGGCCAUUCAGGCCUUUGAUUGUUUUAUGUAAAGAUGAGAAGAUAGUACAUGUAUAUAUUUGUUUCUGCACAAGAUUCAGAAUCAGUUUUCUAUAAACUAUGACAAAAGCAGACAGAUUUCAAUAUAUGUUAUAACAAAAUUUAAUAUUUCAGUAACUCCAUUUCAAAAGGAUAUAUUAAAUAUUUACCAAGUUGCUUUAUAUUACAUCACAGCUUCCCAAAAUGUUGAAAGACUCAGCUGUUUUUUCUAAGGACUUGUAUACUAUCUAGGUUGAAAUUAGCCAUGGGCAAUGAAUUUGGAGGUGCAUGCUGGAGCAUCAGAAAUUACAGACUUGGAAUAGAUAUUUGCAUAAUAUACAAGUAACAUUUACUGAAAAGUGACUAAUGCUUAUGUUAAUAAAGUGCAAUAUCCAUGCUUGUAACAUUUACAUGGGGGUAAUAGUUACAAGUGUUGAAAGAGACUACCAGUGUUACAUUUCAAUCUAAGUUACAGUGUGGAUGCUAAUUCUAAAUUCGUGAUAGUCAAGUGUUUUUAAUAACUUAUGGAUACUAAUAAUUUAUAAAACUGUUUAAUUUAUCACAUUCCUACAUCAUAAUUUUACAUGAAAUGUUUGUGGUUAUGUAAUAUAUAUAUAUAUGGUAAUAAAGUUUGUUUCUGUGUAAA